UUUUUGACACUUUGGUUUGAACGUCACCCAACUGUAAAAUUUUAUUUGCAAAACAUUACCUAAAAGCCCCCGAUAAAGACACGAUUCCAAAACAGAAACAAUCCGACAUUUGUAAGCGCUGUUUCAAACGUAAUAGACCGCAUCUCUUUAUGAGCGAAGUUUUGCGCGGAGUGCGGGGCAAAGUUGAAAAACGAACGUUUGUAUGCCCAACCUCGGGGUCCCCCGGUUGGGUAUACGGAUGUUCAGCCCAGCCCCAGGCCACCGACCGUCUGGACACUUCGACGAGCAGCUCCAGCUGGUGCAUACGCAAUACGCAGCGACAGGUUGCGCAAACGCAGCUGGAGUUGCUGACGAAACUGAUGGAGGCUAAGGCCAAGCCUUCGCCGGAAGCAGAAAAGAAACCCCAAGAAGCAAAUUAAUUUAAUUAAUAAAUCUACUGUAUAAAAAUAAAAUUCCGUAACGCUU